CCUACGGGAGGCAGCAGUGAGGAAUAUUGGUCAAUGGGCGUAAGCCUGAACCAGCCAAGUCGCGUGAGGGAUGAAGGUUCUAUGGAUCGUAAACCUCUUUUAUAAGGGAAUAAAGAGUGGGACGUGUCCUGUUUUGUAUGUACCUUAUGAAUAAGGAUCGGCUAACUCCGUGCCAGCAGCCGCGGUAAUACGGAGGAUCCGAGCGUUAUCCGGAUUUAUUGGGUUUAAGGGGAGCGUAGGUGGAUUGUUAAGUCAGUUGUGAAAGUUUGCGGCUCAACAGUAAAAUUGCCGUUGAAACUGGCAGUCUUGAGUACGGUAGAGGUGGGCGGAAUUCGUGGUGUAGCGGUGAAAUGCUUAGAUAGCACGAAGAACUCCGAUGGCGAAGGCAGCACACUGGACUGCAACUGACACUGAGGCUCGAAAGUGUGGGUAUCAAACAGGAUUAGAUACCCUGGUAGUC
rnacentral:rRNA from 1 species